rnacentral:rRNA from 1 species
UGAGAUAUGUUAAAGAUUUAUCGGUAUAAGAUGGGCAUGCGUCUGAUUAGCUAGUUGGCGGUGUAACGGACCACCAAGGCGACGAUCAGUAGGGGUUCUGAGAGGAAGGUCCCCCACACUGGCACUGAGAUACGGGCCAGACUCCUACGGGAGGCAGCAGUAGGGAAUAUUGGGCAAUGGUCGGAAGACUGACCCAGCCAUGCCGCGUGCAGGAAGACGGCCCUCUGGGUUGUAAACUGCUUUUAUCUGGGAAGAAAAAGGCCAUGCGUGGCAAAUUGCCGGUACCAGAUGAAUAAGCACCGGCUAACUCCGUGCCAGCAGCCGCGGUAAUACGGAGGGUGCAAGCGUUGUCCGGAUUUAUUGGGUUUAAAGGGUGCGUAGGCGGCUGAAUAAGUCAGCGGUGAAAGACUCCGGCUUAACCGGAGCAGUGCCGUUGAUACUGUUUAGCUUGAGUUCUGCAGGGGUACAUGGAAUUGAUGAUGUAGCGG